rnacentral:rRNA from 1 species
AUUGAACGCUGGCGGCAUGCCUUACACAUGCAAGUCGAACGGCAGCACGGGGGCAACCCUGGUGGCGAGUGGCGAACGGGUGAGUAAUACAUCGGAACGUGCCCCGUAGCGGGGGACGAACCAGUCGAAAGACUGGCUAAUACCGCAUACGCUCCACGGAGGAAAGCAGGGGAUCGCAAGACCUUGCACUAUGGGAGCGGCCGAUGCCCGAUUAGCUAGUUGGUGAGGUAAAGGCUCACCAAGGCAACGAUCGGUAGCUGGUCUGAGAGGACGACCAGCCACACUGGGACUGAGACACGGCCCAGACUCCGUACGGGAGGCAGCAGGUGGGGUAAUUUUGGACAAUGGGCGCAAGCCUGAUCCA